GAUGAACGCUGGCGGCGUGCCUAAUACAUGCAAGUCGAGCGAAUGGAUUAAGAGCUUGCUCUUAUGAAGUUAGCGGCGGACGGGUGAGUAACACGUGGGUAACCUGCCCAUAAGACUGGGAUAACUCCGGGAAACCGGGGCUAAUACCGGAUAAUAUUUUGAACUGCAUGGUUCAAAAUUGAAAGGCGGCUUCGGCUGUCACUUAUGGAUGGUCGCGCGUCGCAUUAGCUAGUUGGUGGGGUAACGGCUCACCAAGGCAACGAUGCGGAGCCGACCUGGGAGGGUGAUCGGCCACACUGGGACUGGGACACGGCCCAGACUCCUACGGGAGGCAGCAGUAGGGAAUCUUCCGCAAUGGACGAAAGUCUGACGGAGCAACGCUGCGUGAGUGAUGAAGGCUUUCGGGUCGUAAAACUCUGUUGUUAGGGAAGAACAAGUGCUAGUUGAAUAAGCUGGCACCUUGACGGUACCUAACCAGAAAGCCACGGCUAACUACGUGCCAGCAGCCGCCGUAA
rnacentral:rRNA from 1 species